CCUUCGCUGCACGUGGAGCGGGAGGCCCGAAGAGGAGGCAGAGCCUCAGGAAAUUGACACCCUCAGGAUUCAAAAGAAUCACACAAGGAGCGCCCAGCAAAACACGGGAUAAAGCUGGAGGCGCGGCUGAAGAGCUCCACGGGCCGGCUGCCCUCAGAGCGGCAGUUCCCGGCGGGAAGGUGAGGGAGCCCAGUGCCGCUGGGACACCGCUCGCCCCUCUCAAGCCAGCGGUACACGACUGCACCCGCUUCCCCCAGGACCAACAGAGACGGGGAAGUUUCUAAAAUUUCAUCAUCGUGCACAACGCCUCCGGGAGAACACCUUGGCGGGGAAGGCGGCGCAGGUAUCACAGCAGCUUCCUCGGUGAUGAACUGGAAGCUGCCCUUCUGCAGGCCUGCUACCCAGAGCAUCAGGAAUCUGAGUAUUGUUCCAAUUGCGUUCAUCAAAGUGCCUUACUUCUUGUGCUGGAGGAGACAAAUUGUUUGGUAUCUAUCUUUGUCAUACAGACCGACAGCUCUUCUUUCAUUUCAAGACUGAAAAGUCACAGCCAACUCAAUGAUUAUUUAUAAGAGAGCUCUUCCGUGUCUUUGGAUCAUCUUUAUUAUCCUUCUCCGAGCUGUUCCACUUUUACAGAUUUUUGGGAUAAGAGGAUCUUUGCACAGUAUUCAAGAUAAGGAUGAACAAUGACUUACUUCGUGCAUACAGUGCCAUGUUGGUAUUUUCUAUUUCUUUACUAAUAAUCUAAAGGUGAUUUUUUUUUUUUUUUUUAAAUAAGAGCUAAAUCAGCACUCCUACCUAGCUUGUCAUAUCUUCUCAGCUUCAAGUCAAUUUUUGGUAAAUUUUGACUUCUGUUAAUCUAAUCAUCAACCAAUUUUCUAGUGACCAUAGAAAAACCUCUCAUUCCUUUUUGAUAAUGUUUUAAUUGCAGUAGCCACUCAAAGCCCAAACCAAAAUUAGAAGUUCUCUUUAUACCUAUAACAACAGGCAGUUCUGGUCCCAAAGGAUUUAUUAUUUAAUAAGCAAGUUCACAGACAUCUUUGGUAGAGCAAACAAUACAGUUUUCCUCAUCUGCAGGCCUUAGUGAGAAGACAAAACAGCAGUGAUUAUUUUAUUUGAGAAUAUGGACUGAAUUAUUAUCUCUAGGUUUAUGCAAUAGAGCUACUAAAUCACUUGUUAUGGUCUACUCCUGCAGAGGCAGAUGAAUUACAACUCAUGCAGACAGCUUGACUAGGAUCUUGUGAAUUACAGAGGUCACUUUCCAAGAAGGACAGAGAAAGGUCUCCAAAAACUGUCAAAGGCCACUAUAUCACUGCCAAAUGAGGCUUAGAGCUAGCUCAACAAGCUGAUAGGAUUUUAGGGGAGCUUUGAACACAUCCAUUUGUAGACAUGUUCAUCGUUGAAACUCUGCAGCAUGUGGCAGGGAGAGAAGUACAUUUAGCUGGAAAAUGAGUGUACCUCACACCACACUAGACAGGAAACAGAGCACAGGUGCAGACAAAAGUCAAAAGAGGUGCUCCAGCAGAGCUAUCAUGGAUAAUGGGUACCAAUCCUUACAGAUUUCAUCAUCCUCUCUCCCUUCUCCCAGAAUUACAUAGAAGUUAGAGAUGGAUAAACAAGGAAGGUCCUUUUGAAAUAAGUUUCUAAAUAGAUCAUUUUUAAAACCACCUACUAAAGGACCUUUCUUAUAUUGUAGCAGAGAAAUUUCUGCACAGGAAAAGGAACCUUGAAUGAUACAUGACAGAAUUUUAUGCUGAUAUAUUACUUACAACUUAAAAAUCUUCAUAAAUACUAUUCAGUAACUGAUUAAAUAUUACCACCACUGUGCCAAGACAGCCAGGAAACAACAAGAGCAGUCAAGCAGCCCUUCCAAAGAAACAGAAAGAAUAAAUGAUUGAAAGGUGACCUAAAAUUUGGGAAUUUUGAUUUCAAGAUUCUUGAAAUGGUGUUACCCCAGCAGACAGACUAUGCAUUGAUAAAAAGGCGAUAUGCAUUCCUGAUUCUAAGUGUCCAACUGCAUGCCCACUCAUUUGUGACAUAGGAAUGUAGGUUAAUUGUUAAUCUUGGAUUGAUGCUGUUGGCAGAUGUGAUAAGAUUGCAUUUUGCAAUCUACCAACUGCAAAGAAUGCAACUGCAUGGAACUCAGAAUGGUCUGUGUCCCAUUUUGAUAAGCUCUUCAUGGGGCUGUGUGCUUGGACCAUGCAAAUAAAAUCGCAAAUACAGGCUGCAGCAAUCUAUCAUUGUGCACUGCACAGGUACAUCACUUGAUACUGUGAUACAGGGAGUUCCCACAAUAUUGAUUUUGACAUUCAUGAUAAGAACCCUUGUACAUCUGGGACAUGGUUAUCUCAAGGACUCUGCUAAUCAGGACUGUUAAGAGUAAGGAGAGGUCAUACAGGUACUCGACUUGAUUUUAAGUGAGGAGAGCAGGGAUUUGCAGUGGGCAUUCUCACUCUCCACCUGCAGAACCUGGAUGUGUUGCACUUUAAAAGACUCAGCCUCAUUUUUUUCUUCAAGGCUAAGCUAGAAGGUGAGUGAAGAGCUGGAAAGAAACUCUGUGAUCUGUGUCUGUGAUAUGCAUUUAUUUAUGAAUGGGGACUGGAGUGGGGGAGAUGGUGAAAGACCUUUCCAUUAAACUAAGUGAUUGCAGUGUGAAAUUAAACUAUUCAAGAGUUCAAAAGGCAUAGAGUGGCCACAUAGGUACAUUUAGGGAUAAAAAAGAAAAAAUGCUAAUAAAUAUUUCCCCCGAUCCAGGUUUCCUCUUAGGAACUUGUAGUAACUCAGCUCACUACGUGAACAUCCUCUCCAGCACACACUGUACAUAAAAGAGCAGUUUCCCCACAUGACUUCAUACUAAUUACCUGCAAAUAGUCAUACAAGAAAAACCUCAAUCCACUCAUGCUCUUUACAGCUGUGAUUAGCAUUUUCGUUUCAGAACUUCUGAGUGACACUGCUUGCCCGGAAUUCAUUACUCAAUCUCCCUGCAUAAUGCAUGGCAGCCCACUGCUGUUGUGUCAGAGUGCCUCUGUGCAAUGCCCAGGGCCUGCAGCUUCCCUGUCCACACACUGCAACAGCUGCCAACAGACAGAUCACAACAGCCUGGCAAAGCACUUAGGACAUUUAAAAUGCCUGUUUUUAGGUUCCAGGAAAAGUGCAGCUACUACUCCCAGUGGCCUCACAAAUCUUCAGGACACUGAUAGGUGGUUCGCUUGUGUGUGGGAGAGGCACUGCGUACUUUAAAAACAAUAUUAAGAGUUACAGGAGCCCUUCUAACUUUAAAACCACAGAAAAUUCAAUUGUAACACAACUUGAAAUUUACAGGGAUCAGUGCAGUUAAUUUACCACUUCUGGUCUGAGAAACAAGUAAUUAGAGAAUAGUAUCAGAAAUACUUUUAGAAUUGGUUAGUCAUGAUACUUCAUCUUGUAAGACUGGAGCUUUAAUUGGC